rnacentral:rRNA from 1 species
UUAAGUCCCGCAACGAGCGCAACCCUUGUCAUUAGUUGCUCGAAAGGGCACUCUAAUGAGACUGCCGGUGGACAAACCGGAGGAAGGUGGGAUGACGUCAAGUCCUCAUGGCCCUUAUGGGUAGGGCUUCACACGUCAUACAAUGGUCGGGACAGAGGGUCGCCAACCCGCGAGGGGGGAGCCAAUCCCAGAAACCCGAUCGUAGUCCGGAUUGUAGUCUGCAACUCGACUACAUGAAGUCGGAAUCGCUAGUAAUCGCGGAUCAGCAUGUCGCGGUGAAUACGUUCCCGGGUCUU